CCGAGUUAGGGUCUUCCAGGCCCGACCUCCAACCCUGUGUCUAAACUACUAUGUUGCUUUGGCGGGCCCGCCUCUAGGGGCCGCCGGGGGUCUUACUACCCCUGGCCAGCGCCCGUCAGUAGCCUUCUGAAAACUCUUUAUAACCGUGUCGUCUGAGUAUAAAUUUAAAUCGUUA
rnacentral:misc_RNA from 1 species